rnacentral:tRNA from 1 species
ACGGUUGUGGUGAAGUGGUAUCAUGCAACCCUCCCAAGGUUGCGUCCCGGGUUCAAAUCCCGGCAGCCGUA